rnacentral:piRNA from 1 species
UGGGAUUAAAGGCGUGUGCCAUCACUAUCCAG